rnacentral:lncRNA from 1 species
GCCCUCUUUUCCCCUCUGCUCCUGCUCCAGCAGCACAAUGUGAUCCACCAGCCAGGAGGGAUGCCAACAAGGCAUCUGAUAAGAUAAGUCUUAUAAAAUAUAUAGAUUUAUGAUAAUUAAGACUGAGCUAGCAGAUGAGAAUCCUAGUCAUUGGCCAAGCAGCAUUGUACCUAAUACAAAUUUCUGUGUAUUCAUUUGAAUCUAACUCGGGCGGGUGGCUGGCGUAAAGCUCCCACGUGGCAGUGGGGCUCAGUGGCUUUUGGCAGAAAGAUUUAUUGUAACAGCAAACAUCACAAAAAGACAAACGAUGAAUGAAGAAAUAUCUUCACGAUGCAGGAAAAACAUUACUGAAGGAGAGACACUGCACCACAAUUGAUUUGAACAACAAAGAAAGGACUUAGAAUAAAAUUGGAGCAUACUAGGAUAGAAGAAAAGACAUGCAUUUAAAGGGGACACCACAUGGGUUAUAAAGGACAUUUGAGAUCAUGGCUAUCUUCUGCACAUGCUCACCUGGUAGCUGGCAUGUACAACAGAGAUCCGUAGCAGAGCAGUAUAAGUCAAUUCAUCUCACCCACUUGGCUGAGUCUGACUUCAUCUGUAUCCUUUUGGCUAAUUCACACCAGAUUAUUGAUAGCCAAGCCCUCAAUGGUUUGCAUCCCACACAGUCACCAAAGGUUUCUCCUUGA